AGCAGCCGCGGUAAUUCCAGCUCCAAUAGCGUAUAUUAAAGUUGUUGCAGUUAAAAAGCUCGUAGUUGAAUUUCGGGAUCAAAGGAUCGGUCAUGCCUUGGUAUGUACUGGUUUUAUUGGUUCUCACCUUCUAAAGAACCAUAAUGUCAUUCAUUUGAUGUUAUGGGGAAUUAGGACUGUUACCUUGAAAAAUUAGAGUGUUUAAAGCAGGCUUACACUUGAAUACAUUAGCAUGGAAUAAUGAAAUAGGACAUCAGAUUCUAUUUUGUUGGUUUCUAGGAUCGAUGUAAUGAUUAAUAGGGAUAGUUGGGGGCAUUAGUAUUCAAUUGUCAGAGGUGAAAUUCUUGGAUUUAUUGAAGACUAACUACUGCGAAAGCAUUUGCCAAGGAUGUUUUCAUUAAUCAAGAACGAAAGUUAGGGGAUCGAAGACGAUCAGAUACCGUCGUAGUCUUAACCAUAAACUAUGCUGACUAGGGAUCGGAUGAUGUUAAUUUUAUAAUGA
rnacentral:rRNA from 1 species